AUGCCUUACACAUGCAAGUCGAUCGGCAGCACGGGGGCAACCCUGGUGGCGAGUGGCGAACGGGUGAGUAAUACAUCGGAACGUGUCCUGUAGUGGGGGAUAGCCCGGCGAAAGCCGGAUUAAUACCGCAUACGAUCUACGGAUGAAAGCGGGGGAUCUUCGGACCUCGCGCUAUAGGGGCGGCCGAUGGCGGAUUAGCUAGUUGGUGGGGUAAAGGCUCACCAAGGCGACGAUCCGUAGCUGGUCUGAGAGGACGACCAGCCACACUGGGACUGAGACACGGCCCAGACUCCUACGGGAGGCAGCAGGGGGGA
rnacentral:rRNA from 1 species